UUGCCUCUUCUAUUGCGGUGUUCUAACAGCAGCAGGGUAUAAAGCAGGGAGCCCAGAGCCCAUUCAUCAGUCUGACCCUGACCAGAGCUAACAACAACCAUGGCUCAGCUAAGAAGAGUUCAUGCCGGCAGAAGACAUGCCAAGAGAAGACGACAUGUCCACAGACCUAGCCACGUACACAGAAGACAAAGACGCAGAAGGGCACCGAAACCAAAAAGCCACCAUAGAGCAGGCUACAGACGCAGACGCCGCCACCAUGUUGAAUGAUGAACGCCGUCCUGCGCCUUCGCUCUGCUCACUGACUCUUCUGCAACAAAAUACCAAAAACCUGAAUGUACAUGAAACACAACCGGACAAUGAAGUCUUCCUUUUCGGCAUACGCUUUUGCGUAAUCUUUCCAGUCUCUUCAGCAUCAAAAAAAUAAAUAAAAAAUAAUAAAAAAGC